CUUUAAAUUGAGCUGGAUGGAACAUAAUUUCUUCUAACUUCUGGAAACUGCCUCAAGUUACUGGAACUUCUGACCCUAUUUCCUUGCUAAGGAUCCUUCAAUAGAUCUGCAGAAAGUGACAUAGAAAAGAAAACUAAUAGUAAAAAAUCAUUGAAAUGGCUCCCCUUGAUUUCUGUGACCCUUUAUACGACUGUGCACAUUUACUAAAUAUUUUAACUUCUGUGCUGUCGAAGAAAAAAUAGGUUUAAAAAAUAGUGGCUUAGGUUUAGAGCUAUAUAUCUUUUACGAAACAUUCAAGAAACAGGCACUUUAUUCACAAAGACCUGGGAAAGUAGUUAAAUGUAAGCUUGGAUUCUAGCAUGAAUUUAUGGAACCUCCUAACUUAAUCUCUGAAUCAUUAUCGGUUUUUAGUGCCAGUCAGCAUGCAUCUGAUAUUCGUGUUUAUUUUCUUUAAUUAUGAAGCCACAUCGUUAGUUUUUUGUUUAUAGGAAAAUCAUAUAAUCUUAUAAAGGUUUGGGAUGAAAGGGGGUCAUCUAGUGUAAUAAAUGGGGAGGAGAUGAUUUUCCUUUAAAAUGCGUUUAUUUAGAGAGACCAGCUCGGGUCGGGGCCCAACGGGCCGCCGCUGCUUCCCAGAGAUUGGCCAAGGAGGAGGAAAUGCAGCUUUGUCCGCUUCACAUGCAGGCAGAGCCAGGGAAUCCGUCCUCACAGGAGUGGCAGGAUUCUUCCCCUUCUUACAGUCUGCACUAUAGUCUAGGGUCCUCAGGCUAUUUGAGGUCUCUGGUGGUUAGAGUGACAGAUUAAAAGCGUCUCUCUAGGUACUAGAGUUAGUUGCUCACCCUUCUUCAAGCAUCUCGGCCCAUAAUUUUGUGAAGGCUUGUAGUUCUAGGGGAUUCUAACAUGGUUUCUGAGGAGUUCCUGCAUUUGCAUACUGUCUCUGAUGUCAUCUCCUCCUCACAGGCCCUGGCGCCAUUUUCCAGGAAACAGCAGCCGGCAGAACAGUGAAACCAAACCUAGCACAGAAGGAUUUCUAACAAGGAAAAGACACAGCCUGUCUUGACAGGAGAAAUGCUUCUACUGCCUGAUCAUCUUCAUGGCCCUCCCCUGGACUCAUUCCAACAAGUCCACAUCUGUCAUAUGCUGGAUGCAGCAUUCCAGCAAAGUCCUGUGCAGCAAAGUGAGGGAUGUAUAAGGAGAUAGUGAAGAUAUGUAAGCAGAAAUCAGAGGAGCUGGUGUCCACUUACAGGUAUUACAAGAAUAUAUUGCAUCACAACUCAUACACUGAUGCCUUUAUUCUGAUGUGCCUCCUAUAAGCUUCUCAGAGCCUUCUAGUGACAGGAGCAUCUCUCACACGGGACUUCUUGGCUUUUAAUACCACUGGAGCAUAACAAAAAGGUGUGACUUAUUAAAGAAUGGUACUUCUCUACUUACCCCAUUUUGUAAGUCCCCAAAGUCCCUUGAGGUGUUUUCAUGUCUGAGGAAAACAAGGGAAAUAGGGAAGCUGUAACUCCAGAGUGAUGCAUAGGUCCAGUUCAGUAAAGUAAAUCCAGUGCCAAUCACAGACUGUGGAAACAGCUGUUGGGAUGACCAGGAGGUGACCACUGAGACAAGGGUUCACAGCAAUGAGCAGGAGAGCUGAUGUGACUGAGGAGCAGCUGAGCCCACUCUCGACAGUUCAGCUUCAGCCAUAUUCCCUGGCCCAGCUGCUGGAAAAUCACAGAGAUUACAAAAGGCUAUUGUCACCUCCUGCCUUAGGUCCAUGUCUGUAUUUGGCAAUUCUUUGGUUUUUCUAGAAAGAAAAUGGUAAUCUGAAAACUUCAAAUCUGAAGUUUGAGGGGAUGUUGUUGGGUGGGUUGGCCAUGACCUGCAGUGAUACGGGGAUUAUGGGCAGAAGAGGUCUGUCAUGUGAGCUGAUGUAACUGGAGAAGUUUUCAUAAAUCUCAUGACCAUUAUAAUGAAAAAAAAAAUCUCUUUACUGAAUUUUUAAUUGUUGAUUUGCUUUUGUAUUGGUUUCGGUAUUUUUCCAUGACAGUUUAUAUUUGUGUUAAAGCACAUUUUUACACAGUGGUAUCAGUGCCCUUGAUAUCAGCUCAAAUGGAAAUUAAAAGAAAAAGUCCCUUCCUUUCACUGGAAACAUGGUAGGGCAUCAUUAAUUUAUUUUAAUGUCAGGUAGAUCGAUUGCAGAAUACUGAUUUUUACCAGUCCACAAGCAAGGGGAAAAACAUAAUAAAAAAGAGUCAAGGAUAAUGUAUAAUUAAAGGGCACUUUUUUGUUUUAGUUGACAAAUGUAAUUAAUUUAAAUUAUUUAUGAUAGUACUGCACAUAAUAGAUUCAUAAGCACUCCAUAGUACGAUUUCUGAAAUAGAGCUAUACAUUGCAUUUGAAACCAAUUGUACUAAAUGUGAUACUUCAUGAACACAUACAGUGUCAUAUAUGUACCACCGCAUUAAAAAAUUGCCUGUAGAAUGUUGCUGUAUCCUGUGUAGAGUUUAAAUUUCUGUUUUCCGUAUUUUACAAUUUUCACACAACAUUUCUGCCAUACUCUAGCAUUAUUUUUUCUCUCCUUUGUUUUGCGUAUCUUGAAAUUUAGAUUGAAUUCACAAAAGCCUUUUAAAGGCUGUUUACCAAUGAGGCGAAGUCACUUUGGAGCACAUUUGCCAUCUGCUUUAGCUAUUUCUAGGUCACUAAAGAGUCUUCAACUUCUUGCUUUUUUUUCAUCAGGUAUAAUGGCAAGAGCAACUAAUGAAUGUGAAUUAAAAAUCUGUCAAAUACAAUGAAUAAUAUGCAGAAUUAUGUGUGCAUAAACACUAAAUUUGCCUUUAUGCCAGAUAAUCAAACUAGGAGGUGCCUUGUACUUUAAAAACUGUAAGAAUAUAGGUGUAAUAUAAAUACAAAAAAGCAGAACUCCAAUGGCCAGUGAGAAACUAUGUGCCAAUGAUAAUAAACUAGGGAAAUAGUUUCAUUCUAGGCAGCAUAUUUGUUGUGUAAAUUAAUGCUCAUUAAAGCACUGCUCCAUACCAUGGAAGCUUAUAGUUCUUGCUCUUUUUUAAUCUUCUUCCACUUACUUUGAGCCACAAAUGUUCAAAUGUUUCUUUUUUCCUUGGGUAUAAUCUGGGGAUCUGGAAAGUCCCACAUUUUGUUCAGAAUUACUGUUUUUUUUUGGUGUUUUUUUUUUGUUUUGUUUUUUGCACAUGGGAAGUGGAUAUACAAAAGUAAUUCUACAGUUUCUAGUUCCAGUUGUUUAUGAAGCAGGUAGUAGGACCUUUAAUGGUGUAAAGACAUUGCUGUAAUUUAUGAUAGGGCAGCUGGGAGAUAGGGGGGCCUAUUUAUUUGCCUAUAGGACCCUAAAUUGCAAUCAUUACCAAAACAAAACUGUUCGCUUUUUUUUUCCUGUGGUAUUUUUAAAUAGUACUGUAUAGUUUUAUAGUUUUGUAUAGUUUUAUGAGUGCUUUGUGGUGAAUUAAUAAAAGUGGAGUUCAUAGAAAUUAUUUGAAUGCAAAUCUCUUGUACAAAUCUAGGUAUGACUGACCAAUAAACAGAAAUGUUUUGUUUUACAGAAAUGAUACUGCAGUUGUUGCCUUGCAGUGAUAUUUUCACAUCUAAAAGUGCUACUGAUUGAGAUCUGUGGGACACAAAUAAGUUACUUGGAAGUCAGUAGGGAACAUAGGGAACACAGUAUUCCCAAGAAUUGACUAAAUGAAAAACAAUAUUUUUGCUCAGCUAUCCUUUAGACAUUUAGUGAGACCAAAGUGAUUUUCAAAUUAAUAAAAAAUAAUAUUGGAAAACUGUACAUUUGACACUUAAAAAUGUAUGUUCUAAUGAAAAUUAUUAUAGGAGGGUGUUUUGAUAAAAACUCUAUUCUGGGAAAAUCAAACACAAGAAUCUAGGGACAAAGUAUGGUGUACUGUAUGUUACACAUACAAUAAUGUAUGGUGUAAUUAAUUUAAUAAAAAGGAAAUCCAGACCAAUCUGACUGAUUUGUGUCUUUGAUCUAUAUUACAAAAAUUUCACAGAUAUUCACUGCACCAUACAUAGAACUGAAAUAACUGCCAGUGUGCUUUUGUACCUCCCUCAGAGUAGAGGCAAAGCCACCUUUAUUGCUAAUCAACACAAGUAAGACUUGGAAAUAGUAAAGAAAUCUGCUAAAUCAAACACUUAUCUAGAGAAUAGGCAAAGAAAACAAAGACAAAUAAUCCAAUUAUUUCAUAUUUGUUUUGCUAAAUGGCUUUUCUGUCAAGGACUGUGGAGAAGUCCUUGAAGAAGGACCUGGGCAGACAGGUGAGUAGUCUGGGGUGGGCAGCAAGCAGGUCUGGAGAUAGGACUGGCAGCUGGAAACCAAGGUCUGCCUGCACCAUCUGUGUCACCAGCACUGCUGGAAACCUCAUAGAAAAACUUCCUCAUUAAAUCUGACCAACACAGAGCUUUGCAUAUACACUUAGCUCCUCCUUUAUUACCCCACUGUUUAGACUCUGACUUUUAUAUUUUUGGGAGUCACUAAAAAUGACUAAAUGAGGGAGAUGAGGUCUUGUGAAAGUGGUGCAGUGUUAAAGAUAGACAGUAGGGCACUAUUUUCCUUUAAAAAUGAGUGCUUAUCAAGAUGCAAAUAUCUUAGAGGCAUACCUUACCCUAUUUAUCUCUGGUAAAAAUAAAAUACUAUUUUAGAUAAAUAAUUAAAUACUUUUAGAAUUAUUUCAACUGGUGUUAGAGAUACGUGCAUAAGGAAAAAAAUAAGAUGUCAUAGAUACAUUACUAUUCUUAGAUCUGUACCAAAACCUUACUUUUGGUGUGGUUUUUUUUCUCUCAAUCUGUAUUUCUUAGCCUCCAGGAUAUGCAGGUAUUUCUGCACCAACAUAGCAAGGAAUAUAAUUUGUGCAAACUACAUCAGCAGGCCAUUCUUUACAUAAAGACUGUUUUUGUUGUGUACUAACAUUUAACUUUUUCUUUAUUCUUAUUUUCCCAAAAUAGUUCUUCUAGUCACACUACACUCCCAGCAGAAUUUCUUCACGCUGUAACUGAAAUUGCUGGUAAUCAUUAAGAUGAAUCCAAGUUAUGGUUUCAUUUGUCUCUGUCUAAUUUGGAGUUCCUAAUGUCCUUGAAGGGUAACUAGAUGGGUCAUCUCACAGAAUGUAAACAAAAAAAAUUAUAGGUGUCACAGUGCAUACUAAAAUAGUUUGUCUAUUAUCUGUGCCAUUUUGCCUAUACUAAUUAUGCAUUUCCCAUAAAUCUGUGGCUUGAAAGCUGUGCCUUGCACCACAUAUUGUGUGGACUAAAACUAUUUGUGCUUGACAUUGGAGGCAGAAGAGGCUGAUUAUAUUAGCCUUAUAUUAUUCAAGCUGCUGCUUGAAUGUAGCUUUCUCUGUGGGUUAGUAAAAAAUACAGGUGAAUACAGCAGGGCUUAAAUAAAGCCAUUGGAAAGAAAUUAUGUCAACAUAUAUAACAUGCUUAGCAUUAUACAGCCUCUCCCACUGAGAAAUCGAAGUGAGACUUUGGCUACAUAAAAUAUUUGUUAUAACUUUUACAUGGCUCUAUUUCAGUGAAACACUAAUUUUAUUUUUAGCUAUAAUGCUGUGAUUGAAGGUGAUGUCAAAAAGAAUGGAUUAAUGCCCAGUAUUAGACGUUUACUUAAAUACUUUGCUGUACUGUGGAACAGUGUCCCUGAGACAUUCUGCAGAGCUUCUGAAUCCCAAAACAGCCCUAUAUAAAUCUACUCUGCCACAAAAACAAUUUUUCAUACAGUACACUCUGUAGCAUUAGACUUGACAUUUUUAUAUAUGCAUUAUUGCUGAGAUUCAGUUGCUGUGGGAGGUGUAAUUUACAAUUUUCCAACCUUUGCACAUUCAAAAAUCCCUGUCAUAGCAUUACACUAAUAUGUUUACAGUAAUAUUUCCUUAUUUUAUUUAUCUAAGUGUUGUAUUAGAUAUCCCUUUAUAGAGGUCUGUGAAAAUUAUCUAAUUAACCCUAUCCACAUUACCCAGUUAUUUGGGUUUUUAUCAUGAGGGAUGAAUGUCACCUUUAAUGAUCAUAUGCCUCAUUAAAUUGUUUAAUUUGCAUUUAUUGAUGUUUAAUUCAUUUCGGAAUAAAAGUUUAAAAAACCCCAACAAUAUUUGCUCAUAACAAUACUUCUAAGCAAAAUGUUAAAAUAGUUAAUAUCUUUUCAGAAUUUACUUGAUAAGAUAAGGAGGUUCCUUUUACUCUGAACACUGAGGAAAUAGGGCUGUUCAGAUUUAAUGGAAACACAUCUUAAAAUAACUUUCAGACAUAUGGCAUAGUGCAUAAAUAAUUGAUUUCAUCAGGGCUUAUGUUACAAACAGUUAAGGUACAUUGGGCUUGAGCUAACAGAUGUACCUGAAAAUAAAUGGUAUUUCAUGAAUAGAUGCAUUUUUUUCACAUCCUGCUGACACUGCGAUUGACUUUCUUAUAGAGAAAUUAGAUAAAUCAGGGCAUUAGGUGUUUGAUGACAACUUGAAAAAUUUGAAUUUUGUCACAAAGACCUCUAUCAAGAGUGGCAAUCAGUAGCAGAGAACAGAAUGAAUGUCCUUGAAAAAUAGUGGUGCUGACUAAUAAUCAUAGCACUACCAGACCUUCUGGGGCUGACAACAGUCUUCCUCUGGUGGAGUCUUUGCUCAUCAGUCUGCUUUGCUUGAUGCCUGCUUUGGCACAUGCUUAAGAGUUGUCCCAAGUGCUCACAUAACUCUGAGGCUUCACAGUGUGCAUGUUCCCUCACCAAGACAAAACUGGGAGGAGUCUGGAAUGGUGGAGGAACAAGAAAGGAAGAUUCAGCAUAGAGAGGAGAAAACACUGAGACCAAAAACUGCUGCAGAAAUCCUCUUCCUGCUUGUUUGACUUGUGCUCUGAACAGAAGACCAUCAUUAUCUCUGUACUGUCUCCUAAAAUGAUUUAUUUUCUCAAAGGAGAAAUGCCUGGCAGUAGGCAUCUGCUCCUUGCUAUCCUUUUCACUUGCAACACAUACUGUGUAUUUAAUUUAUAUUGAUGCUACUUUCUUGCUUGCUGUUGUUUAAUCUUUGCAGCUGAAACUUGUGAGACUUCAGUGCCAUCUCCAUUUGUGGCCUGGGAGCAAGCACACAGCUUUGGCUGUGGACACAAAGGCCAGAUGCUGCCAUUUGUCAUGGCAAUGCAGGGCUCUAGACUUGGCAAGAUGGGAAGGAAAACCCACCUUUUUUUCAGGAAUAGGUGCAAGCCUACCAGUCUGGGUAUCUCACAGUGUUGAGCUUUAAGUCAGAGAAAUUCAGACAUGGAAAUUACAUGUUUGUUAGUUAUUAGAAAAGUGGAUAUAUGAAAGUGGUAGAGUCCGAGUUGUACUCACAUCCAGUAUAAAAAAAUGAACAUUUUUCAAUUUUAUUUCUGUGUCAUUUUUUUCUCCUUUUGCCCAAAGAGAAUAUUUCAAAAUAUUUAUAAAACAAGUCCACUUAGAGGAUAAGCUUAUAUCUUGGGGCAAAGCAACCUGCUUAAUAAAUUCUUGACAGACAGACUUUUAGCUAAAACUUUCAAAUUCCACAAGCAACAUAUUCUGAUUAAUCUUGAAUAUGAUAAAAAUAAUUGUAUAUAAGAUGAAUUUCAUAGCAUACAACUAUUUCUAUCAUUUAACUACGCCGUCAAAAUGUCAAUAGUAUGUGUUGAAAAAAGCAGCAGAAAUAAUCUCUAAGUUCAGCCUUUCUAUAUGUAAUUGAAAUUUUCAAGGGCUACAUUCUUAAAAAGGAGAAUUAUUUAUAAGAGCUUUUAAAAUAAAACUGGCUAGGAUUUGAAUGACUCUAAAUAUUUUUUCUUCCCAGAAUACUGGUUGCAGAAACAAUACCAGUUAUCGUUCGAAGUAUGUAUUUAUGUCAUAUAGUUCCACAUAAUUUAUUUAAGUUAACAGUAAUGGACAUACCAGUUCUCUUUGGCUUUUGGCUUCAAUCUUGUGUGAAUUAAUAAAAUCAUGAAAUCAUGGAAUGCUUUAUUUUGGAAGUGACAUUAAAAAUUAUAUGUUUCCAUCUCCCCUGUUGUGGGCAGGGACACCUUCUACUAGACCAGGUUUUUGAGAGCCCAAAUCCAAUCUGACCUUGAACACUUUCAGGGAUGGGGCAUCCAGAGCUUCUCUGGGCAACCUGUGCCAGCAGAUUUCUGGGUAAUUGAAGUCCCCCAACAGGACAAGGGCCUUCAAGCACAAUGCCUUCUGUAGCUGAAGCAGGAAGUUCAUCACCAGCGAAUGGGUAUUAAGUAAGGCAGUGUAUCAAAUAGCAGGAAAUCACAGAGUGUGGAGCCCUCUUCCUUUUGCAGUCAUGGCAGGAUAGAGCCAUGGAGAUGGACAAGGAGCUUGAAUCUUGUGCCAUUAGGAUCUGAACAUGUCUGAAAACGGAGAUUCUGCAAACUUUCCUGAGCCUCCUUCAUUGCUCUCUACCCACUGCAGCUCCCUCAUGAGGCUGUGUACAAGAGUAGCAUCCCCCAUCUCUGUCCUUGUCCUCACGUGCAUCACCUACUUAUCCCUGAGCUGAACCAAGCCAGCACCCUCCACCUUCUCUUCUACAUCCUCUGCUCUGGCUCGAGCUAUUGUGAAGAUUAUCCAGCAGACUAUAUCCUGUUGUGCCAGGAUCCCAAACCAGGACCUGAGCUACCAGUAUGGUCUCACUGGAUGCUGAGCAGCAGGUCAAGGUAGAGUCAUCCAUGCUGCUGCUGUGAGUGAGCAAAGAGAGCCUACCUUUGCCAUAUUUUGCUGCAAAGGAUCCUUGCAGACUCUUUCUGCCUACCAGAACUCCUCAGCCUUGUAUAUAACGUUCCUUUGGCUCUUUGUCAGAGCUUGUGUUGACCUUUAACGUUAUUCUGCACAUGCAGGACAUUGCAUUUGCGCCUACUGGUGAUUGAUUGUCAUCAGCCAGUUUCUUAGUCUUUGAGGUCCUCCUGAAUGCCUGCACUGCCCUUCAUAAUAAUGCUGUCCCCCCAACCCCAUCCUUCCCACCACCAGUUUGAUACCAGUCGUAAACUUAUUGAAAGUGAACUCUGUCCUACAAUCUUGGUUAUCUAUAAAAAUUUUACAGUUUAACCUCCAAGACCUUUGCUGGAUGCCACUAGCUACUAAUAACCAAUAGAGCUGACACAUCUCUUUGAGCCCCAAAUUCCAGUCUAUUUUCCACACAGUUUCUCAUUUACUUAGCAGGUCAUAUUCUGCCAAUUUGUCUACAAUGUUGCUAGCACAAAUCAUGCCAUUUUCCUAAAGCCAAAGUGGACACUACCCUUUGUCCACAGCACCACUCAUGUCAUCACAAAAAGCAAUCAGCUUGGUCAGGCAGAAUUUGUCCCCAACAGUUCUAUUCUGGUUAUUCCCAGUUAACUUCUUGCGUUUCACAUGCCUGAAGGAAGCUAGUUUUAGUUUUUAUUGCUGAGUUUAUACCCUGGUGAUAACAUCCUCUUGGAAGACGCAGGCAGAAGUUUGACAGAUGGUUGUCCUGGAACCUAAUUCCUUGCACUUCAGCAGCUGAGUCCCACUGGGGAAAAUUAAGAACUGUCUUAAAUAGCAGUAAUCCUUCAAAUUUAUUUAUAAUAUACUAAAUUAUUCUCAGCAAUUACCAUACACUCUAAUCUGUUGAGAGUACACUCUAUGGGAGGCUUUACUCAGUGGCAGACCAAGGAAGUUAGGAAACAUAAUUUAGUAGUCUAUUCUGAUUUUUAUUUCUGAGAAAAUAAGAAUUCAAAAUAAGGUAUUCACAUAAUUCAGUACUGGAAGUUAUCCAAAUAAAUCAGUAAGGCUCUCCUAGUCAAAUGAAGAGAUAAAUUUCUAGAUCUUGAAGUUAUAAAUCCAUACUGUUCUUGGAGGAGACAUGUACUGCUGGAUUACACUUUAUGCAAUGUUUACAUGUAGUGUUCUCUCAAGUCUCUCUCAAGGAAUGUAGUAAAAAGCAAUCAAUAGAAAAAGUGAGAAUAAAACAUGCUGUUAUUGUAUGUAAAGACAAAAAUCAACCCAGAGACCGAGUCCUAUAGGAUUUCUGAAAUUCCUGAACUAAAAUAAGACAUUCUAAUUUGAGAUUUCAUUCUUCUUCUAAAAUCAAUUUAGUUGAUAAGAGUUCCCAUUUAUUCCUUUGUGACUCCAUGCUUGCCUCUACAAAGUAUGUCAUAAGUUGCUGAGUAACCUGUGGAGCUGGGCCGCCAAUGUGCACUGGAUAUUUACACCCCAGUAGCUUUAUUGUUCUUAAAACUGAGAUGUUAAAGGCCAUAAUAUCAGUUUAGCAUUGAGGCUUUCUUACUCUUUUUCUUUGGGGUAUCAAAUUAAUUUGAGUAUUUAACUUGGAAUUCUUCUCACUGCCUUUUAUCCAUGGAUCUCUCUGGAAAGCUUCUUUGCAAGAGCAGAUGAGUAAAAUAUUUUUGUUUCCUGACUUAAUUUAAAUAACGUGGUGACAGCACUGCACUACUCUCUUCAUGGUCAGGGCAGGCUCAAAAGCAGAGAAAGCUUGGAGUAAACCAAUAAUAUAUGCUAAGAGUCAUAUAAUCACACAAGAACAGAAACAUUUUGUGAUAUAAAAAGAGCGGAAUGAGUUAUCUAGUCCUACUCCCCGUAUAAAGCAGGACUAAUGAGAACAGGUUGCUCAGAACCAUGUACAGUGGAGGAUCAAUCAUCUCUACAGAUAGAGACACACAUGACCUCUCUGAGCUACUUCCAGCUGAUUUUCCACUGUUAUGAAGAAAAAGUGUUCUUACUAUUAAACCAGAAUUUCCUGUGUUCACAAUUGUACUUGUUGCUUCCUGUCCUUCUGUCCUAGGUUAUAAUAUUGGGGAGUAUUCCAUUACCACCUCGAGCUGCAAUCCCUUUCUUUCCUUAUGUCAUGACUCAGAAAUAAGUCCCUCCAGGAGGACCUGUUCUUUUAGCCACAUGACUGAUAAGAUCACAGCAUUCUAUUGUGAGAUACUCCGCCCAGAGGGAGGAACCAAACAAUGCCAUCAGGGAUAUAAGUGAGGUUGUGCAGACAGCAAGUAGAUCCCGUUUUCCAAGAGGAACAGCUGAGACCUUCUCUACACUGGACCUCCAAAGGGAAACUACAUCAGUCUACAGGACCACUGCUUAGACAGAACCAUAUCUGCUACAACUGCCCUAGCCAGCAAGUGUCAGGUUGUAUCUCUUACUCUAUCAGUAGUCCUUCUUUUGUGCUAUUGUAUCUAUUUGGUUCUUUGUUCCCUUUUUCCUAAUAAAUUGUACUUCUGACUUA